rnacentral:rRNA from 1 species
UACGAAGGGGGCUAGCGUUGCUCGGAAUCACUGGGCGUAAAGCGCACGUAGGCGGUUCUUUAAGUCAGGGGUGAAAUCCCGGAGCUCAACUCCGGAACUGCCUUUGAUACUGGAGAUCUUGAGUCCGGGAGAGGUGAGUGGAACUCCGAGUGUAGAGGUGAAAUUCGUAGAUAUUCGGAAGAACACCAGUGGCGAAGGCGGCUCACUGGCCCGGUACUGACGCUGAGGUGCGAAAGCGUGGGGAGCAAACAGG